UACGUAGGGUGCAAGCGUUGUCCGGAAUUAUUGGGCGUAAAGAGCUCGUAGGCGGUCUGUUACGUCUGCUGUGAAAACCCGGGGCUUAACCCUGGGCUUGCAGUGGAUACGGGCAGACUAGAGGCAGGUAGGGGGAGAAUGGAAUUCCCGGUGUAGCGGUGAAAUGCGCAGAUAUCGGGAGGAACACCGGUGGCGAAGGCGGUUCUCUGGGACGGUACUGACGCUGAGACGCGAAAGCGUGGGGAGCAAACAGG
rnacentral:rRNA from 1 species